UUACCCGUCUACUCCGGUCCGGAGGAGAUAUAAGUAUUUGUACUGCGCAGUGCGUAGGUCCGAAUCCUACGCGAGGCGAGGCGU
rnacentral:tRNA from 1 species